GUGGAUCUCGCUCUAAUAUGUGUCUUGAACUUAUAUUAAAUUCAGCUAAUAUAAAUUUGGUCCGAGAGAAUGAUCAGCCACACUGGGACUGAGACACGGCCCAGACUCCUACGGGAG
rnacentral:rRNA from 1 species